GCUACCAUUUUGGCCUUCAAGAAGGUUCUUGAACGCUCUAUAAGCGAGCGCCGAAACCCUAAACAGAUCCAGCGAGCGAGCGAAGCAGACAAGGCCGGAGAAAAUGUCUCAUUUCGGAAGAACUGGCCCUCCUGACAUCACCGAUACUUACUCUCUCCUUGUCCUCAACAUCACUUUCCGUACCACGGCUGAUGAUCUCUUUCCUCUCUUUGAUAAGUACGGCAAGGUUGUCGAUAUCUUCAUUCCCCGUGACAGAAGGACUGGUGAGUCGCGUGGGUUUGCGUUUGUUCGUUACAAGUAUGCAGAAGAAGCACAGAAAGCUGUAGACAGGCUGGAUGGAAGAGUGGUUGAUGGGCGGGAAAUGGCUGUUCAAUUUGCCAAAUAUGGGCCAAAUGCUGAACGAAUUCAUCAAGGAAGGAUCAUUGAGAAAGUUCCAGCAAUCAAAGGAAGCUCAAAAAGCCGAAGCCCUCGUAGAAGAUACCGCGAUGACUAUCACAGAGACAAAGAAUACAAGAGAAGUAGGAGCAGAAGCGUUGAUCGCUAUGAGCGCGAUAGGUAUAGGCGGAGGGAGCGGGACUAUCGGUAUCGGAGUAGGAGCCGCAGCUUAAGUCCAGACUAUGAUCGAGAUCGUGGCAGGGGACGUGACAGAAAACACCGUAGACGGAGCCCAUCAUUUGAUAGUGCCUCCCCAGCUCGGCGCAGCCCAAGUCCUCUCAGGAAAGAGUCUCCUCGUAGAAGCUUAUCACCCAAAAAGGGAAGUCCUGAGAGGCGCAUUCGCAGUGAACGCUCUCCAACUCCGCGUAGCCGUUCUCCUCCAGGUCGGGCAAUGGAUUCCCGAAGCCCUUCUCCUCGUGCUGAUGAGGAGUAACUUUCUGGUGGCAAUGUGAGAACGGGCAGAUGAAGUGCAUCAACUUUAGCUGUCUUCUGAAUGUGCUGUUAAAAAUGCAAACUGUGAUGCAAUUUCUAGGCAGAAGUAUUAGCUGACAUUUUGUUAUGAUCGAGAGAAGGUUGGUGAGGUUGAUGUCAGAUGAUGAUGAUGAUGAUGUGGCUGUCAACCCUCAUAGUAGCUUAUAGUUAGUUCGUGAAAUUUGACGAGGCUGAUUGGUUGAUUAUGUGUUGAUUGUUGCUGAUGGUUAGCUGUUGAUAUGCAGCUUCCGAUGCUGUUUGUAGUUAAUGUAUUUGCAAUGCAUAAUAGCAGAUGCUGGCUGGAGAUUUUCUAUGUGCACCUGUAUAUAAUAUAUUGGUUUGGUGCUUAUAAAAUCGUCUUUGAACCGGGAUGGGAUGCAACUGGGUAUGUAGGAUGGACACAGUACGGAUCUACCUCUGUGCCCGAUGCUGCUAGUGAGGUUUCUUAUUGUUGAAGCUGAUGCUAGUUGUUUGACGUGCUGGCCCCUGAAUAGGGUCAAUAUCUCAUGUGGUCUAUUUGCCCCCCCAACACGCAUAGCAGUCGAGAAAUAUCAUACCUUUAACCAGCCAGAUGAUCAUGUCUUCUUGUGAAUUAUGAUUUUCUUACUCGUGGAUCGUGAUUGUAGCUGAAUGAAAUGCUGAUUAAUUGUACGUUGCAAAUCCUUUUAGCUUUGGGGUGCGGCUGAUGUUCCAGAGCCUCUCUCUUGAUCUGAUAUUAUGCUCUAUGUAGCUGAUGGUCACCUUGGUGAAUUAGCUUCAGCACGUUUUUUUGGGGGUUUGUGUUGUUUUAUGUUGUUUGUCCCCAUGGCUCGAUUGGGUCUUAGGUUAUAGUUUAUUUUUAAGCCUUGAAAACCAAUGACUAUUUUUUGGUUCGACUUCCUUGACUUUAUCCCCUUUGGUUAAUUAAUAGGCUGUGUGUAGGUGUCCCUGGGUGGUAGUUAUAUUGACAAGGCUAGUAUUUCUGUGCCGUGUCCAAUCUUUAUUGUAUAGCAGAAGCCAUAGGUGUCGUGCAUUUUUACUGUGUGAUGUUGAGCAUAGCUAUAGUGUGUGGGUGUUGCUUUACGGUAAAAGCACUGUUGCUUUUUAACAUUGUGGUUGUGCUGCUGUAAGGUAUGGGGGUCGAGCGGAUUUUGUCAAUUUGACCAUGUGUUCAGGUUGCACUUACAUUGCCAUGCUUCUGAUCUUUCCUGCAGUUGUAUGUUAAGUUGCCAUAUUCUGUUCUCUGUUUAAAUUGUGUCUUACCUUUUUAGUCCUGUUUCAAUAGUUUGGAAAGGCAACCAUUUUUGUUAUAUUUUGGAGUAAUAUUUCUCAAUUUUUAAUUACAUCUAUCAAUCGAACAGUGAUGACACGGUUUA